GGUCCAGUUCUUGGGUGAUGCACCCUGGAAUUGGGCUCUCUCCUCUAUUGUUCCAGGUGCGUCACCCAAGAACCGCA
rfam:Myotis lucifugus cont2.7613, whole genome shotgun sequence.